UUGGAGGGCAAGUCUGGUGCCAGCAGCCGCGGUAAUUCCAGCUCCAAUAGCGUAUAUUAAAGUUGUUGCAGUUAAAAAGCUCGUAGUCGAAUUUCGGGGUCAGUAGGUCGGUCGUGCCACUGGUAUGAACUGGUUUUACUGAUUCCUCCCUCUUGAAGAACUGUAAUGCCAUUAAUUUGGUGUUGCAGGGAAUCAGGACUGUUACUUUGAAAAAAUUAGAGUGUUUAAAGCAGGCUUUAGCUUGAAUACAUUAGCAUGGAAUAAUGAAAUAGGACGUUUGAUCCUAUUUUGUUGGUUUCUAGGAUUGACGUAAUGAUUAAUAGGGAUAGUUGGGGGCAUUAGUAUUCAAUUGUCAGAGGUGAAAUUCUUGGAUUUAUUGAAGGCUAACUACUGCGAAAGCAUUUGCCAAGGAUGUUUUCAUUAAUCAAGAACGAAAGUUAGGGGAUCGAAGACGAUCAGAUACCGUCGUAGUCUUAACCAUAAACUAUGCCGACUAGGGAUCGGAUGAUGUUAAUUUUUUAAUGACUCAUUCGGCGCCUUACGGGAAAC
rnacentral:rRNA from 1 species